AGGGGAGCCGGAGGGAAACCGAGUCUUAAUUGGGCGUUAAGUUGCAGGGUAUAGACCCGAAACCCGGUGAUCUAGCCAUGGGCAGGUUGAAGGUUGGGUAACACUAACUGGAGGACCGAACCGACUAAUGUUGAAAAAUUAGCGGAUGACCUGUGGCUGGGGGUGAAAGGCCAAUCAAACCGGGAGAUAGCUGGUUCUCCCCGAAAGCUAUUUAGGUAGCGCCUCGUGAAUUCAUCUCCGGGGGUAGAGCACUGUUUCGGCUAGGGGGCCAUCCCGGCUUACCAACCCGAUGCAAACUGCGAAUACCGGAGAAUGUUAUCACGGGAGACACACGGCGGGUGCUAACGUCCGUCGUGAAGAGGGAAACAACCCAGACCGCCAGCUAAGGUCCCAAAGUCAUGGUUAAGUGGGAAACGAUGUGGGAAGGCCCAGACAGCCAGGAUGUUGGCUUAGAAGCAGCCAUCAUUUAAAGAAAGCGUAAUAGCUCACUGGUCGAGUCGGCCUGCGCGGAAGAUGUAACGGGGCUAAACCAUGCACCGAAGCUGCGGCAGCGACACUGUGUGUUGUUGGGUAGGGGAGCGUUCUGUAAGCCUGUGAAGGUGUGUCGUGAGGCAUGCUGGAGGUAUCAGAAGUGCGAAUGCUGACAUAAGUAACGAUAAAGCGGGUGAAAAGCCCGCUCGCCGGAAGACCAAGGGUUCCUGUCCAACGUUAAUCGGGGCAGGGUGAGUCGACCCCUAAGGCGAGGCCGAAAGGCGUAGUCGAUGGGAAACGGGUUAAUAUUCCCGUACUUGGUGUUACUGCGAAGGGGGGACGGAGAAGGCUAUGUUGGCCGGGCGACGGUUGUCCCGGUUUAAGCGUGUAGGUGUGUGUUCCAGGUAAAUCCGGUUCACUUUAACACUGAGGCGUGACGACGAGGCACUACGGUGCUGAAGCAACAAAUGCCCUGCUUCCAGGAAAAGCCUCUAAGCAUCAGGUAACAUCAAAUCGUACCCCAAACCGACACAGGUGGUCAGGUAGAGAAUACCAAGGCGCUUGAGAGAACUCGGGUGAAGGAACUAGGCAAAAUGGUGCCGUAACUUCGGGAGAAGGCACGCUGACACGUAGGUGAAGUGAUUUACUCAUGGAGCUGAAGUCAGUCGAAGAUACCAGCUGGCUGCAACUGUUUAUUAAAAACACAGCACUGUGCAAACACGAAAGUGGACGUAUACGGUGUGACGCCUGCCCGGUGCCGGAAGGUUAAUUGAUGGGGUCAGCGCAAGCGAAGCUCCUGAUCGAAGCCCCGGUAAACGGCGGCCGUAACUAUAACGGUCCUAAGGUAGCGAAAUUCCUUGUCGGGUAAGUUCCGACCUGCACGAAUGGCGUAAUGAUGGCCAGGCUGUCUCCACCCGAGACUCAGUGAAAUUGAACUCGCUGUGAAGAUGCAGUGUACCCGCGGCAAGACGGAAAGACCCCGUGAACCUUUACUAUAGCUUGACACUGAACAUUGAGCCUUGAUGUGUAGGAUAGGUGGGAGGCUUUGAAGUGUGGACGCCAGUCUGCAUGGAGCCGACCUUGAAAUACCACCCUUUAAUGUUUGAUGUUCUAACGUGGACCCGUUACCCGGGUUGCGGACAGUGUCUGGUGGGUAGUUUGACUGGGGCGGUCUCCUCCUAAAGAGUAACGGAGGAGCACGAAGGUUGGCUAAUCCUGGUCGGACAUCAGGAGGUUAGUGCAAUGGCAUAAGCCAGCUUGACUGCGAGCGUGACGGCGCGAGCAGGUGCGAAAGCAGGUCAUAGUGAUCCGGUGGUUCUGAAUGGAAGGGCCAUCGCUCAACGGAUAAAAGGUACUCCGGGGAUAACAGGCUGAUACCGCCCAAGAGUUCAUAUCGACGGCGGUGUUUGGCACCUCGAUGUCGGCUCAUCACAUCCUGGGGCUGAAGUAGGUCCCAAGGGUAUGGCUGUUCGCCAUUUAAAGUGGUACGCGAGCUGGGUUUAGAACGUCGUGAGACAGUUCGGUCCCUAUCUGCCGUGGGCGCUGGAGAACUGAGGGGGGCUGCUCCUAGUACGAGAGGACCGGAGUGGACGCAUCACUGGUGUUCGGGUUGUCAUGCCAAUGGCACUGCCCGGUAGCUAAAUGCGGAAGAGAUAAGUGCUGAAAGCAUCUAAGCACGAAACUUGCCCCGAG
rnacentral:rRNA from 3 species